rnacentral:rRNA from 1 species
AAUUUUGGACAAUGGGGGCAACCCUGAUCCAGCCAUCCCGCGUGUAUGAUGAAGGCCUUCGGGUUGUAAAGUACGUCUGGCAGAGCAGAAAAGUUAUCUCCUAAUACGAGAUACUGCUGACGGUACGUGCAGCAUAAGCACCGGCUAACUACGUGCCAGCCUCCUCGGUAAUACGUAGGGUGUAAGCGUUAAUCGGAAUUAUUGGGCGUAAAGCGUGUGUAGGCGGUUCGGAAAGAAAGAUGUGAAAUCCCAGGGCUCAACCUUGGAACUGCAUUUUUAACUGCCGAGCUAGAGUAUGUCAGAGGGGGGUAGAAUUCCACGUGUAGCAGUGAAAUGCGUAGAUAUGUGGAGGAAUACCGAUGGCGAAGGCAGCCCCCUGGGAUAAUACUGACGCUCAGACACGAAAGCGUGGGGAGCAAACA